ensembl:lncRNA
AUGCCUAUCCAUGAGCUUAUUAAAGAAUUCAGGGCUACAAAAGGCUCUCAUUUCUACAGGAAGAAGAAUAAAGCUGUACAACCACAAGUACAGCCGCAGGUCACUGUCCAAGGUCCUGAAAGGUCCCCCCAUCCCAAGCCAAUCCCGGAGUGGGAGGCAGGCCCGUUGCUAAUGGAAGCUAGAUGUGAGGAUGUCAGGGAGCCUUUCUCCUUCAUCUCUAGUGACCAGCCCUGCAGCAGCCGAGACAUCCAGGCUAUGGAUGCAGUGGCAGGAGCUUCUACUGACGGUGGCCAGAACGAGUUUGGCCUGCAGGUCUCUGCCACCACCAUCACACUGUCCCCAGGGCCCAUCCCAGCAGACGUUGCCCAGGGCCUGGCCCUGUACCGACGCAAGAUUGACCUAGAGUCAUCCCCCCGGGACUCUCCUCCACUCGGGGCUUCCGCCAACAACUCCUGUGCGCGUGUCCGUUCGGCCCUCUUCGAGCGGGUCUCCAUCAGUGAGAUCAGCCAGGAGUUGGAUGCGGUGCUGAUCCGGACUGGCGUGCUCCCAUCAGAGUCCCUGAUCAUCGUGCAGACAGAGCAUGUACCCAAGAUGAUUGUGUUCCAGGCUCAUCCCCUAUUGGCUGAGAACGCAGCAGUGGCUCCGCCUCCGUGUGACGCCCCUGUCAGGUAUAAGUGCAGCUGUGCCUCAAUGGUGGGCGCCAUCGAAGACGUGGUGGCACCAUUGGAGAUGGCCGGUGCAUCUCAGCCCAGCUAUCCCAUCUGUGAGAGAGCAGGUCCCGUGGUGGAGAGACCAGCUGCUAUGGUCGCUGAGCCUGAGGAGUCUCCAGCCCUUGGAGACAAGGUUGUACCCCUUGAGGUCCACUCUGCACCAGUCGAACCCCAGGAGAUGACACCCUCAAGGCCCUCCAUCCCAGUUGGAACACUGGAGCUCCCUGUUUCAGCCCCUGCUGUGUCUGACUCCCCUGCUGUGUCUGACUCCCCUGCUAUGGCUGUCCAAGAGGUGCAGAUUAGUUUGACCGAUCGUCCUCUCUCAGUCAUCCUACACUCCCUCUCUGGUGCAACUUCACCAUCCGAGACAGCAGAGGAUGUGAUGCUGGUUCCUAUGGUAGUGUCCCCUCCUGAAUCAGUCAAAAGGGUGGUGAGAGAGUCCUCUGAUCUUCUGUGUCCUCUUCCUGCAGCGACAUUGGAGACUGAGUCUGUUAGUGUGAUUUGUCCCCCUCCUUCUCCAGUGACUGUGCAGAUCCAGUCUUCCAUUCUGGCUUCUCCCCUUACUGCUGCAACCGUGGAGACAGAAUCCUCCAAUCGGAUUUGUCCUUCUUCUGUGGUCAGCGUGGAGACUGAAUUGGCCGAUAUGCUAUCUCCUUCUGCUGCAGAGACAGCGGAGGCCGAAUGUUCUGUUUUGACCUGCCCCCAUACUGCAGUGACCGACGACUUUGUGGCCCCUGUUUCUGUGUACCUUCCUGUUGUGGCACCAGAAGAGACCGGUGUCCCCAGUGUGCAGCUCCCAGCUCCCGCGCCUGCCUUGACAGAGGAAACUCAGUGCCAGUCUGCUUCACCAUGCCUACCCACCCUCACGGCCGCAGGAGAGUCCAGAACCCCCUUCUUGGUCUACCUCCCACUGCCUGCUCCAGAGCUGGCUAAGACCCCUGGUCUGUUGUGCCAACUGGGCCUGGGACCAGAGGAAGCCAAGAGCUUCCCUUUCCUGUGUCUCCCUAUUUCUGACAUCCCCAGGACCCCAAGUCUUGUGACUGCCAGUCUGGCUCCAGCUCAGACUGCGGCUGUGGCUCCUGCUGCUGCUCCGGAUUUACCAAGGACCAACCUCCCUGGAGUGACAGAUAUCCCCAGGACCCUGAGUUAUGUGGCGGCUGGAGCUCAGGAGCUACCACGGCUCCAGAGCUAUGCGGCUAACACCGCUGAAGUCCAGGAGCCACUGAGGACCCUCAGCUAUCUGGCUAACACCCCUGGAGUUCAGGAAAUACCACACAACCCCAGCUAUCUGAAAAACUCAGCUGUCUUCCAAGAUAUGUGCUUUAUGUGCCCCUCCGUUACCGCCUCCAAUCUGUCCAGGAACAAUAGCUUUGUGCACUCUCCGGCUGCCAUGGCUCCACAGCAGCUGAUUAGGGGCCCGUGUAUGAUGUCUCUGUACCCCCAGGGAGGGCCUGUGAUGGGCCACUGUACCCACUCCCCAGGACAGUGUCCUGCGUCUUUGCAGCAGCAGGCUGGCAUGGCUCCGCUCAACCACGGACAGCAGACCAACACCAACUUCAUGCCCAUUUGUUCUCAAGGGCCAAGUAAGAUAUUUACAUGUAUUCAUUUCACGUUCAAACCAUUGCACUGA